rnacentral:lncRNA from 1 species
AGCACUCGAAACAGGCCGGUCCUUCCCACCGCAGGACGGAGAAGCAGGUGGUGGGCGCAGGGCUGCAGACUGCAGGGGAGUCUGGGAGCAGUCCCGAGGGCCUCCUGGCAUCAGAGCUGGUCCACCGGCCAGAGCCAUGCACCUCACCUGAGGCCAUGGGACCCUCUGGACACAGACGACGCUGCUUGGUCCCAGCCUCCCCAGAGCAACACGUGGAGGUGGAUAAGGCUGUGGCACAGAACAUGGACUCUGUGUUUAAGGAGCUCUUGGGAAAGACCUCUGUCCGCCAGGGCCUUGGGCCAGCAUCUACCACCUCUCCCAGUCCUGGGCCCCGAAGCCCAAAGGCCCCGCCCAGCAGCCGCCUGGGCAGGAACAAAGGCUUCUCCCGGGGCCCUGGGGCCCCAGCCUCACCCUCAGCUUCCCACCCCCAGGGCCUAGACACGACCCCCAAGCCACACUGAGGUGCCGCUGCUGGAGAUGCGUGCCCCCGGCGGCUACCCACUGGACCGGCCACUCUCCCCAGCCCCCUUGCUUCUCUCCAGCCCUGUCCAGCAAGUGCAGGGUGCCUGCACUUCACCCUGUGCAGAGAGGUGGGAUGGGGCCAUGCACACAGGGAUGCCCGCUCCACAUCUUGCCUGCCCCUCAGCCCUGGCCCAGGCCCCUUUUGGAGGCAGCUGAGGAAGGAUGCUGGGGAAAGCCCUCUUCUGCAGCUUUGUGGAAGGCUGAUCAGUGGCUGCUGGGUGGCGGGUACCCUUGCUCAGAUGCCUGGCAGGGCUGGGUGGUGAUUCAUAAAGACCUCGUGUUGAUUCCCCGAUGGGAGCCAGCUCUCUGUCUCGGGUGGGCAGGUGGGUGCUGGAGGUGAGAACAGCUUCCCCAGGGGUCCUGCAGCUUUGAAGACUUGGCUGCCUGUGCCAUGGAUUCCAGAGCUGUGCACGUGACUGUGGGUGUGUGUGGGGAGUCUG